CCACUUCCACGGUCCCUGAAUAUUUGUGUGAGUUAUGUUGUAAACAAAUGACACGUCGAGAAACUUCGCGCACGUAUUCUUAACACACUCGCAUAAGUGAAGCAAAUGUGUUUCUUUGUGGUCGAAAUAUUUAACAUUGUACAAACAUAACGUUCAUAACACCCCACACUAAACAAUAUUUUGAACCAGCUUUUUUUACAAGAAGUGUUAAAUGACAUGUUCACAGGAUACCUUUACGAGAUUUUGGGGCUACUAUUUUCUCCUUCCCAGCCAGAGUGUUUUGAUUCUCUCUCAUGUUACAUAAUGUGCUUUACAGCUGUGCAAGCUUCCCCGCCAGCUGUCUGCUCUGCCUUCAUAGUUAGCAGCAUGGAACCUGCAACACCAGGAACAUCAAAGUUCUCCUACUUCUGUUACCGUAGUGGGCACAUCUGAAACUCAAGUGUCUGAGGUGUUUGAGGUGACUUUAUUUGAAGAUGAUGUUUACGAAGCUUUAGUUGACAAUAGUGUGACUCUAUUUGAAGAUGAUGGUUGUGAAGUCAACAUUGACAAUGAUGUGAAUGCGGCCUGAACCAACUUGCCUCACCUGGAUUUUGGUUUGAGCAUUUGUGGGUCAUCUUCAGGCCUUAAUUCCUGUUUGCAGGUUUGAUGCACACCCCACCUUUUAUAAGAAAUCUUUUGAAAGAGUCAAAGGAGCAUGAAUCCAAAUGUUCGAUACUAAAUUGCUUGUUACGCAAUUUUUUUUUUUGAUGAAAUA